rnacentral:misc_RNA from 1 species
GUGAAUCAUCGAAUCUUUGAACGCAUAUUGCACUCUCUGGUAUUCCGGAGAGUAUGCAUGUUUGAGGGUAAUUAAAAAGAAUCUUUAACCAAUUUUUUUGGUGAAAGGAUAUGAGUUAUCCGCGUUUAUAGCGGUAGCUUGAAAUAAAUGGUCAAGUAUCAUUUUAGUCGAGACGCGUAAUAAUAUUAUUUCGCGAAAUCUACAUUAUGUGACAAUCAAGUUUUGACGUAUAAAAAUUUGGUUUGUUUGCGAUAAAUACAAAUAUUUUGAACAUUACCUCAAAUCAGGCAGGAGUACCCG